UGUAUUAUUGGUUCUUUUCAACGCUUCGAACGCAAAUUGAAGGACUUUUACAUGUUAUCUGUCGGUUCUAUUUACGUAAAUUACCUUACAGUCUGUGUUGGUCGGAUCUAUGACGAUACUUUUAGAACUUCACAGCAAUUUUAGAGGCAAAAUUCUUAUUUAAAGUGAUUUACUGAGUGUCACUGAUAAUAUUAAUUACAAAAUCAUCAAGGACAGUCAAGAGGAAUGCCUGGUUGCUCCGCUGUUGGGUGCAAAAACCGAAGUGAAGAUGGAUAUAUGAUGCUCGUUCUUCCAAGAAAUGCAGAAAGACGUAAACAGUGGGCAGUGAAAGUCAACCGAGAAGGUCCUCCAGUACUCGUCGUUGAGGUUCAGGGGUGUACUGGAAACGUGCUCGAAAAUGCUCCACCCGCCUGUGUUGUGGAGAUCCAGGAACUGAUGUACUCUCUGACAAUCUUCUAGGAGGUGGCUGAGGAGGGAAUAACUUCAUGAAGAACUGCAGUGACUCUUCUACCCGCCAAGAGUGACAUCCGUGAAAUGUAAAUGCAGCUAAUGAAAGCAAAUGGACACUUCGACUAU